UACUCUCAGCAAUGUGUAUCUUAGCUCUCACAUCGAUGAAGAAUGUAGCAAAAUAUGAUACUUGGUGUGAAUUACAGAAUCCCAUGAACCGUUGAGUCUUUGAAUGCAAGUUGUGCCCGAAGCCAUUUGGUCGAGGGCAUGUCUACCUGGGCUUCU